rnacentral:rRNA from 1 species
UACGGGGGGGGGCAAGCGUUGUUCGGAAUUACUGGGCGUAAAGGGCUCGUAGGUGGCCAACUAAGUCAGACGUGAAAUCCCUCGGCUUAACCGGGGAACUGCGUCUGAUACUGGAUGGCUAGAGGUUGGGAGAGGGAUGCGGAAUUCCAGGUGUAGCGGUGAAAUGCGUAGAUAUCUGGAGGAACACCGGUGGCGAAGGCGGCAUCCUGGACCAAUUCUGACGCUGAGGAGCGAAGCCAGGAGCAACGG